rnacentral:rRNA from 1 species
UACGUAGGUGGCAAGCGUUGUCCGGAUUUACUGGGCGUAAAGAGCGCGCAGGCGGUCGUUCAAGUCGCGUGUGAAAGCCCCCCGGCUCAACUGGGGAGGGUCACGCGAUACUGAUCGACUCGAAGGCAGGAGAGGGUAGUGGAAUUCCCGGUGUAGUGGUGCAAAUGCGUAGAUAUCAGGAAGAACACCCGUGGCGAAGGCGGCUCUCUGGGACGGUACCUGACGCUGAGACGGCGAAAGCGUGGGGAGCGAACAGG